UCUGUUGGCCGUCCACUGGCCGGCGCCCUGGCUAACUGCCUGCGGGCGGACCUCAGCCUCUGUUUCGCUUCCCAGCCUCAAGCCGACACUCCAAGCCCUGGUUCUCCUCAGUCAGCUCCUGGCUUCUAUUUGGAAGAGACUCCUGAAAGGACACAAAGAUGGCAGAAAGAAACAUGCUGCUUCUGGAACCCUGGACAAUCUUUUGUCUACAUCUUACCUAGCCCUGUUGAUUACCAGAAGUAGUGAAAAAAAUUAAAUGAAGCAGCAUGAGUACAUGACUACUACAACUGAUCUACGUUA